rnacentral:misc_RNA from 1 species
GGAAGUAAAAGUCGUAACGAGGUCUCCGUUGGUGAACCAGCGGAGGGAUCAUUACAGAGUUGCAAAACUCCCAAACCAUUGUGAACGUUACCUAUCCCGUUGCUUCGGCGGGCGGCCCGGGCCCCGCGCCCGGCGCCCCCCGGCCCCCCGUGGGCGCCCGCCGGAGGUAAACCAAACCCUUGAAUUGCAUGGCCUCUCUGAGUCUUCUGUACUGAAUAAGUCAAAACUUUCAACAACGGAUCUCUUGGUUCUG